ACUUUACUUCACUUUACUUUUCAGAAUGUCUUGUCAGAAAUAUUUUAGAUAAGUCGGCAGAAAUAUAUUACCACUCCUGUCCCUGCUGUGUUAACCAUGCGUGUAGUGGAACCGGACAUUUUUCCCACCCCUUGGAGAGCUAGGUACCUGCGAAAAAGAAUGCUCCUCCUGCAAUGACUGUGGACCUUCUGAAUGUUGUGUAAGCAAUUCUAGAAUUAUAGGUAAAAGAUCCGCCAAACGUGUCAAGAGACAAGCACAGGGUUACUGUAAACCAAUGGGAAAACGUGGCUCAGAAUGUCUUGUUAGUAACGGUUCGGGUAGGCCUCAUGAGACAGUUUUGCAUUCAUGUCCAUGCAAAAAGUCCUUGACAUGCGUUUGGACAGGAAAGUCUGAAGUUCCGCUUGGAAAACUUGGAAGGUGCGGACAUAAUCAAGGAUAUUAGAAACUACUUUGCCCAUCUAGAAGAUAUCUUAAAAAGCAUACAGCUCAUGCUACUACCACUGAACGCUAAAUAAUAUGGAUCUUGCAAGUAGAAAUUUUCGGAAAACACUGUAUUUAACAAUAUACAAAUUGCAUAUAUUAUUCACAAGAAUUCACACGACUUAAUGAAUGAAGGUAAUUUAUCAAACUAUUCAUGUUGUUUGUCAUUGCUAAUGCAUUUAUAACAAAAUAAGCUGACAAUUAAAAUUCUGCUUUU